AUUUUCUUAGUAUUAUAGUACAAGUGACUUCCAAUCACUUAGUCUUGGUUAAGCCCGAGAGAAGAUA
rnacentral:tRNA from 1 species